AGUCAUAGCGCCUGACUGGCUCCGCCUCCCGUACCUACUGGGCUGAUAAUCAGUGGUUAUAUCUUCCCCUGGCUCAGUUCAGCAGGACAGGAGUUGCAGCCGAGUACCUGCCGACCGAAC
rnacentral:precursor_RNA from 14 species